AACGCGAAGAACCUUACCUGGGCUCGAACGGCUUCUUAACGGGGGUGGAAACACCCUUAUCCCGCAAGGGAGUGGAGUCGAGGUGCUGCAUGGCUGUCGUCAGCUCGUGUCGUGAGAUGUUGGGUUAAGUCCCGCAACGAGCGCAACCCUUACCCCCAGUUGCCAUCAUUUAGUUGGGCACUCUGGUGGAACCGCCUCGGAUAACGGGGAGGAAGGUGGGGAUGACGUCAAGUCCUCAUGGCCUUUAUGUCCAGGGCUACACACGUGCUACAAUGGCCGGUACAAACCGUCGCAAACCCGUGAGGGGGAGCUAAUCGGAAAAAGCCGGCCUCAGUUCGGAUCGUAGUCUGCAACUCGACUACGUGAAGCUGGAAUCGCUAGUAAUCGCGGAUCAGAACGCCGCGGUGAAUACGUUCCCGGGCCUUGUACACACCGCACGA
rnacentral:rRNA from 1 species